AUAAUCAUUAGUCUUUUAAUUGAAGGCUUGUAUGAAUGGUCGGACAAAAAGUAAGCUGUCUUCAGCUGUAGAGAUUGAAUUUGACUUUUAAGUGAAAAGGCUUAAAUAGUAUAAAGUGACGAUAAGACCCUAUAAAGCUUUAUAGUGUAACUUUUUAUUAUAAAUUAUAAAAUUGUAUAACUUAAUUUAAAGUAAAGCUCUUUUGUUGGGGCGACAGAAAUAUAAUAAAAUAACUGUUUUUGUUAAAGUAAAACAAAUAUUUUUGGUGCUAAUAAAUGAUCCUUUAUUAAAGAUUAAAAGAUUAAGUUACUUUAGGGAUAACAGCGUAAUCUUCUUUGAGAGUUCAUAUCGACAAGAAGGGUUGCGACCUCGAUGUUGAAUUAAGGUUCCUGCGUGGUGUAGCA
rnacentral:rRNA from 1 species